CAACAGAAAGCCAAAAUAGAGGCAUUUAACUGUUAAUUAAAACAAUGAAGUUUUCUUCUCUGUUGG
rnacentral:tRNA from 1 species